AACCGGGCACUUAUUCAUUUCUUUAAAAGCUUCUCUACAAUAGCUCAGUUUUGUUUCUUAUAGUUUGAUUUGGAAAAUAUUUUCUCAUUCCUUUCUCCUUGAUCUUUUCCCCAGUGCUGGCACUUCAUUUAAAGCAUCAAAGAGAUUAUCAAGUCUUUGUUAAAAUAAUGAAAGAAGUAAAUUUUGGAUUUUGCAUUGGCUGCUUUAUCAGAAAACCUUCACCAGAGGCUGAACCAAUGAGGAUACCCAAUCUUGGGCUUUUAGCUUCCAAAACUUCACCCAAGUCUCUAACAAGGCAGAAUAUUAAGUAAAAUAGUUUGUCACCUAAUGUUAAGACACAAAGAUAAAGUUUUUCACGAAUUACAAGAAAAAAGUCAAGAGGAGAAAGAAAAAGCGAAUAUAAUGAGAAUAGUUGGAAUGCAGCUUUCCAGCCCAUGUCUUCAGAGGAAGCGUAAAUGUAGGAAUAUGACUGAAGACUCUGCGGAGCAGGAUAAAGGGAGGCGAGGAAGCCACUAAAUGCUUUUGAAAUACACGUUGGAUAUGGCUUCUGAUAAUUACAGUGAGAGAUUCUUUAACCUGCUGAAUGCCAUUUAAUGGCACACUUCUUUAUUUGUUUACACAUAUGAAUGCAUGCUUACACACAUGCACAUCAGAGUGGUAAAGCACGGUAUCUGUAUGCAUAUAUAAUUGUAUUGUGUAUGGUAUGUGGGUAAGCUAGUAGGAAAGGAAUGGAAACCAUCAGCCCAAAGAACUGUCCUAGAUCAUAAUACAGCAAUUUGAAAA